rnacentral:lncRNA from 1 species
ACUCUUCUGACGAGACACCAGAUUGCCUACUGGCUUCUUCCAGCUUUCCCGAGCACAGGGAGAGUGGCAGCAAUACCAGGGAGCCUUAUGCUUACAAGAUGGACACCAUAUGUUUUCACUAUCGCUUCGUAGCUGUUCUCAUCUGUCCCUUUUCUUUGUCCUUUUAGUAUCUGAGGUCCAGUAACCCUGAGAAAUUUAAUUUGAGAAGACACCAUGAAUGAAAUAUUAAUAUUUUAAAAUCAAGUACAAAGAGAAGAUUGCCUGUGAGUGGUUAUUCUCUUCAGUUGUCCAAUAGCUGUUAUUUAUCAAAUUAACACCAAAACGUUCAAACUCUCUAAAAAUGAAUAGCUUUGCUUUAUAAGGAGAGUUGUGAAAACUUAUUAAGAACUCCUGCACAUAUUAUUUAAAGAUACCAUUUACACGUGAGAGUAAUUAUAAAUGAAAUAUAUUAAAUGUCCGAAAGUAGCACCAUGUGGCAGAAUUUUCAGGAAAAGAAAUCGAAUUAGUACUGGAAGAAGACAUUCAAAUAAGAGAACCACAUUUUCAAGACUCCUGCCCCUGCCACGAGAACACACCCUUUCCAGUUUGCUGGAGAAAUAUAAGAGAAGUCCAGUGAAAGAGAGCUGAGUUUCCCCAAUGAUGCCAUCAAGAUGAACUAACUACAGUUAACCAGCCAGCUGAUAGCAGAUGCAUGAGUGAGCCCAGCUGAGAGCAGGUGAAACUGAAAUUGGCUGUAUCAUCUGAAACUUCAUCUGUGAAGUCCCUGGUGGUUUCCUAGAUGACUACACAGUUGAGUUGCCUCUGAUUGGAAAAGCAGUGUUUUGGUUUUUCAGUUUGUACAAGAGGAAGAAGACGCAUGAUAUGUGUUUGGCUCAUGUGCCUGAAUAUGGCUCCACAGGGAAGACUUGAUACAGCUGAAGCUAUUGCUUUUUAGAGACUUUUUAUUUUGAGCAGCUGCCUUAACAGCCUUCGUCUUGUUACAUCACAUGAGAUAUAUCUCUGGAAUAGGAAGAGAAAAAAGACAUGACUGAGCAAUAAUUUUUGACUAAAACUUAAAAUUACAAAACCAAAACCAGAGAUAGAUGUCCCUGAAGUUGUAUUUUUAUAGUAUGUGAGAACACAAUUUUCUUAUCCUAGUUUUAAGGCAUUCCUCUGGACCCAGGAUUUUUGUUUAGUUUCAUUCACAUAAUCAAACUCUUUUUUUUUUUUUUGCCAUAGACUAAUGCAUUUUGGUGUAAUGAUCUGAGCCCUUAUCCAGAAGGCAUCUAAGACUCAUGUACAAAAAUAGAUUUCAGGGCUAAACAUUCUAAAAGACAAUUGAGUGCUUCUUUUUUCUCCGGCCCCUAGAUGUAAAUGAAUAACCUCUGUUCACUAACUCUUAAUGUAAUAUAAGGGAUAAAUUAUGCUUGUUUAUUUAAUUGUGCUUAACCAGAGUACUAGGUUGGAGUCAAACCACAGAUAUAUUUGUGAGAUGUGACAAAAUGUAGCUUUUAGCCCGUAAUACCCAAGUCAUCUGGGAACAUAACUGAUGACAGUGUCAACACCUUUCAGGAAUUCUGGAGGUGCCUUUGAGUUUAGAAAUUCGUAGGUUCUCUAGAAGCAACAGUAGCAUACUAAAUUAACACAUAACAUUUCAAGCUACAUUUACAUAAUUGCAGUGGUUAUGAUUAAUACAAAUUAUAUUAACUGCCUGUUUUACUCCUUAUAGCUGAUUGGCUGAAUUUACCAGUGGGUUUGGUAUGUUCAACAAAUGAUCCAAAUUACCUUUUCAUUUCAGUUAAGAAACUAAUCAAAGCAAAUACACUUUGAUUUGUUGAGAGGCAGAGAUUCUCCCUAAGUGGCAAUGUCCUUGGCCUUCUAAGCUAAAACCUAAAUGGAACUAUAAUAUAUAUUUUGAUGCUUUAUCUCACUUGAGUUUUUUAUUCUUUAACUGAAGGGCAGCCAUGGACCAUAAAUACAUAGAAGAUAAAAAUAUAUUGAGCUUAGGAGUUUGGUCUGUUCAAUGGAUGAGAACUUUAUAUUUUCCCUUAUAAACACAAUUUUCAAAGAAUAGCCUGUAAUAGUCGUGAAAAUGGAAACCAAUACUGGGGAAAUGUGGACUGCAACUCUGAAAAGGUAUCAAAAUGCCCGAUAGUUCAACACAAGGGCUAAGCAAUAUUUCAGGGAUGUGGCCUGUCUUUGGUGGCUCGGUCACUCUAGUGAGAUGAAUUUGGAAAAGGAUAGGCAUACAGAAUCCCCCCUCUGGCAGGGUUUGCCUUUGGGGUCUGCUUAAAGCCAUGUUUGCUAGUAGAAAUCUUGAGUAACCAGAUAUGUUUUAUAAUGCUGUGUCAUAUUUAAAUUCUGAUGAGAUUGACAUCUUUAAAUAAGCUUGGACACAGAUUGGAUUUGUACAGGGAACUGGACUGAAGAAUAAUCGUAGGUCAGUAAUAGAUUUAGAUAUACUAUUUUUAUAUUGUAAGCAGUUACUUCUCAGGAUUAGUAUUCUAAUUCAUUUGAUUUAAUAUGUAAUAGGUAAUAUUAAAAAUAAAGAUUUUAUGCUUUGAAACUCCUUAACUGAAUAUUUUCAUAGGAAUAAGCAUAGUUUUUGUGUUUAGUAAUUUUAGUUAGUGAGUAAUGAUUAGCAGACAACAUGGUAAUUAUAUUGAAAUAUUACGUGAGUGCCAAUAACAAAGCUUUCUGAUCAAAUGCUAAGAAAUAUGUUGUGUAAAGGGAUCUCACAUUUUUUAUUGCGGCUUUCUUUCUACAAUGUGACAAAUUUCUGGGAUAUUUCAUUAUCUUCUUUUUGAAUUUUUUUCAAGCAAGACUGUUCAGUAUUAUGUUAGCAUUGAUAUAAAAAGAAGCAGACCAUUGUUAACAUUAAAAUGUUACUGAGAUUUCAAAGGUAGAGGACAUUAUCCUUUCUUAUUUUUCUUUAUGAUACAGUAUUUGUAACAUAGUGCUUCUGAAAUAGAAAGCACUUUUUG